rnacentral:rRNA from 1 species
AUUGAACGCUGGCGGCAUGCUUUACACAUGCAAGUCGAACGGUAACAGGUUAAGCUGACGAGUGGCGAACGGGUGAGUAAUGCAUCGGAACGUGCCCGGUCGUGGGGGAUAACGCAGCGAAAGCUGCGCUAAUACCCCAUACGAUCUAAGGAUGAAAGCAGGGGACAGUAAGGCCUCGCGCGAUCGGAGCGGCCGAUGUCAGAUUAGGUAGUGGGUGGGGUAAAGGCUCACCAAGCCAACGAUCUGUAGCGGGACUGAGAGGACGACCAGCCACACUGGGACUGAGACACGGCCCAGACUCCUACGGGAGGCAGCAGUGGGGAAUUUUGGACAAUGGGCGAAAGCCUGAUCCAGCAAUGCCGCGUGCAGGAAGAAGGCCUUCGGGUUGUAAACUGCUUUUGUACGGAGCGAAAAGGUCUCCUCUAAUACAGGGGGCUCAUGACGGUACCGUAAGAAUAAGCACCGGCUAACUACGUGCCAGCAGCCGCCGUAA